AAUUACUAGAAUGAGAUUUAGGGAGAUUGAGAUUUUCAAGCAAGUGGGCUUGUCCGCUCAACUACAGCUGCUGAUCAUUAAAGACAGGUGGCACUGUGGAUUUCUGCUUUUUUUCUGGCAUUUGUAAGCUAAACCUCCACCACAACCUCCCAACACUCUAGUUUCUUUCUUUUCUGUUUUUCGCUUUGUACACCGUUGUUGAUUCUCUCGAUCUCCUAUUGGCAAUAAAUGGCACACUGAUGUUGUUGCAUUAAAAAAGAUGAAGUGGCCUCCGUAAAUUUACUGAUUUUACAAUGCCCAGAACUUCAAAAUCAAUGAUGCUAUGGCUGAGUGUAUAUAACAUACAUGUACAGAUAUUUCUUUAGUCAUGGCUGGUGGAUAUUACCUAGAAUUGAGGGAACCUUUGUGCUCAGGCUGGAUGACACAAGUGCUGUGCGCAUGCCCAAAUUAAGUUGCGACAGAAUCUUUGAAAACAGUUACUUUAUACUCAGGUGGACCGAUAUAAAGGUCGUAGUUAAUCGAGCUUGUUACCUGUUACUGGCUUACUGCUGAAUGGGUUUCCCUUUGGUAUCGUUGGCAGUGACUUUCAGUUGAUCUAUGUCUUCUGCAUUUAAUCACGGAACCAUGCAUGCCCACUUAUAAACAUUAUUUAAAGAGUUUGGUACAUCUGGGACUGUCUAUGUGUCCCGUAAUUUGUACAUGGCAAAAUGAUAACUUUUUGGUCAUGUUUUCUGAGAACGCUGCCCAGACGAUUUGCUUGGCUGUAGAGCUUCAAAAUUGAGAGUGAAAAGUUCUUGAAGUAUUGAAUGCUUCAACUUAUCCUAACGUGGCUUGACUAGCUAGGACAAAGUUUGAGAUAGAAGUAAGCAUUUGCCAUUUAAUGUAGACAUGGACUGAAAGGGGUGGGCAUCAUCUUGCUCCCUGAAGACCUAAUUAGUCUACACUGACAAGAACAUGGUAGCUAUGCCAAUGUAACCGUUGCACAGAUAUUCUCGAGUUGUGACUGAUGGUGAUUACCUAGUAUUGAGGGAAACCUGAAUGCUCAGGCUAUAUGUCACGAGUGUUCCGCGUGUGUGAAUGUAUGACCAAAUCAACGCGGGAUCGUUGACGGGGAGAUCGAUAUUCUGGGUGAUGCAACAUGGUCCUGCUCUGAUACUCAGGUUUGAUAUUUUCUUUUUCUUUUUUCAACCUGACCUUGUAUGCAGGUUUUCUCUAAUUUGUGACUAUUGGAGAUUACCUAGAAUCCAGGGAACCUGAAUGCUCAGGCUAAUAUGCCACAAGUGUUCCAGGUGUUGUGAAAGUAAGUCGUGACGAAGUCCUUGACAGGGAUAUCGAUAUUUUGAAUGGUGCACUGAAAUCCUGCUCUGCUACUCUGAUUUGAUCUUUCCUGGUCAGGUUUGAUCAGAAUUAUCCUUCGGAAAAAUGAGUGUUUACAUAAGGCAGAGAAAUUUAUAGAUGCGAGUUAAUUAAAUUGCUAAUGUUGCCGCUGCACUCGGUUUCCUUAUGAAACUUUGCAUGUCCUUAUGUACAUAAAAACGUUGUAAAACUAGCUUCUUAUAUUUAGGAUGUUUAGACUUCAACAAAGUUCUUUUGAAGCAGGAUCUCAAUUUGUGAGGUGCCAGGUUUGGCGAUGUGGCCAAAUCAGCUCUCUAGCUUGGUUUGUUUUUGUCUCCUUUGUGUCUUGAGGCACCCUUGUAUUCCUUUUCUCCUUUACUUUACCCUCCCUUCCCUGUAACUAUUACUC